rnacentral:rRNA from 1 species
CAGCAGCCGCGGGAAUACGAAGGGGGCUAGCGUUGUUCGGAAUUACUGGGCGUAAAGCGCACGUAGGCGGAUAUUUAAGUCAGGGGUGAAAUCCCGCAGCUCAACUGCGGAACUGCCUUUGAUACUGGGUAUCUUGAGUAUGGAAGAGGUUAGUGGAAUUGCGAGUGUAGAGGUGAAAUUCGUAGAUAUUCGCAGGAACACCAGUGGCGAAGGCGGCUAACUGGUCCAUAACUGACGCUGAGGUGCGAAAGCGUGGGGAGCAAACAGGAUUAGAUACCCCUGUAGUCCCUGUCUCUUAUAC